rnacentral:rRNA from 1 species
CAGCACCGCGGUAAUACGUAGGGUGCAAGCGUUAAUCGGAAUUACUGGGCGUAAAGCGUGCGCAGGCGGUUAUAUAAGACAGAUGUGAAAUCCCCGGGCUCAACCUGGGAACUGCAUUUGUGACUGUAUAGCUAGAGUACGGCAGAGGGGGAUGGAAUUCUGCGUGUAGCAGUGAAAUGCGUAGAUAUGCGGAGGAACACCGAUGGCGAAGGCAAUCCCCUGGGCCUGUACUGACGCUCAUGCACGAAAGCGUGGGGAGCAAACAGGAUUAGAUACCCCUGUAGUCCCUGUCUCUUAUACA